AUACGAAGGGGGGCUAGCGUUGCUCGGAAUUACUGGGCGUAAAGGGAGCGUAGGCGGAUAGUUUAGUGAGAGGUGAAAGCCCAGGGCUCAACCUUGGAACUGCCUUUCAUACUGGCUAUCUUGAGUACGGGAGAGGUGAGUGGAACUCCGAGUGUAGAGGUGAAAUUCGUAGAUAUUCGGAAGAACACCAGUGGCGAAGGCGACUCACUGGCCCGUUACUGACGCUGAGGCUCGAAAGCGUGGGGAGC
rnacentral:rRNA from 1 species